AGUCGCAUCCUUCCAGAUACUACCUAUACCCAGCGUAACAUUUACAAACGCGAGUUUCUACUUUUUGAAACCUCUGGUAGCACGAGCUGAUUUUAUUUCUAUUAGCCUCUGCAAACCGUUCACAACUUUGAACAAUGAAUUGUUGUAAUGGUGGAUUUUCUACGAAUUCUUUGUGUGGUCAUCUUUGUACGCGCCUAGGUGCGCGCGCGCGCAUGUGUGUGUGUGAGAGAGAGAUAAGGGUGACACAGAACAGUGGAAACAAUCGACUGCGUGAAUCGAUAAUAUGCACAGAGAAAUUCUUGAUCUGCUUGAGCCGAAAAAUACACAGUGCUUGAGCUUGUAGAAACUACAACAAUUGAUUCACUUUUAUUCACGCAAAAUCCAAUCUGUACAUUCACGCGACCACAAUCGAAGAAAAAUCAUCACGCAACCGUAGAAUUCCUAGCCGAGAAGUAACUGUACGCAGAACGAGGUCGGAAUUAACCCAGAAUUAAUCUUUCACGUUUAUCGGAAUUGUAUAAUACUUACAUGGCAUUAGCGAAAGAAAGCAAAUCGGGUUGAGGUGAAAAAUUUUGUUGGAUUAGUUUCAGAAGCGGGAAAAAUAGUAAUACGGUAGGUAAUUGAGAAAAGGUUAGUCUGAAUGAUCAAAAAACAAACUUUAACUUAAUUAAAUGACAAAGAUGUGGAAAUUGUUUAAAAAUCUAUUUUUCGCUAUUAAUUCUUAAUAGCUGAUCACAGUUAUAUUUGCAUUUAUACAGUUAUAUGAUUACUUUGUAUACGAAAGAUACGAGGCAAGCGACGUUCAUUUAUACGCAUAGGUAUUCAAAAACAGAAAUCAACAUAAAAAUCGACGUGCCAUAACAAAAGAGGGUCCCACUUUCAUUGAUUAGACAUUAAUGAUCGCAUAAUUUGUGCAUUUUACUUGUUGUUUCAUUCACAUAUAAUUAACGCUAAACCUAUCGACAUUUUAUUUAUACCUAUUUCCGGAAUCGAUCAAGUGGCUGUUCUUAAAGUCACUUUUUGGUAUUAAAUUGAAAAAGAUAUAAUUGCAUAUAAUUUAUAUAUUUUAUAUAAGAACUACACAGAAAAGUUUACAAACGAUCGUGGUAGGUUUAGUGUUAAUCUACCAAUUAUUAUCAUAAAGAAAAUGUUCACUUAAAGAAGAAAUUAAAACCCCAGAAAAAUUGGUGAAAAUGCAAAAGAAAACGCAAAGUAACAGUAUAAAAUAGACAUUGAUGCCUGAUAAUGGUAAGAACUGAUUUACCUGACAAGAAGCUUCCAGCCAAAGAAUCGUCAUCCUGGGCAGUGAUGGAUCGCAGGCGACCGCAAAAACAGCUGAAGGGAGACACUGUCGUUAUCCGGUUCGAACACGUGCGUGUCAAACUACUUUACCGCAAGUUCGGCAGCCACGGUAUUAUGCGAGCCCGCAUUGCCUGCUUGGCUUGUUUGACUGACUGACUAACUGGGGAGGUACCGGGGCCCACUUGUGGGUCAGGGUGUGGGUCCCCUCUUUUACACUGGUCAGAAAAAGGAGAGAAAAGAACGAGUAGCCGGAGAAGCAGAGAGAACGAUCGACGAAGACCGACCUCACUGACGAGGAUUAUUUAGAAAGAGGGGAAGGGGUGUUGGCAUGAAUACCCGAUACCUUUGAAAAUCUAUAUCUUUAAGCUAUUAUGAAGACUUUUCAUUUUUAUUACUCUAACAAUAACAUCAAAAAUAACAUCAAACUCAAGCAAGAUUUGAAUGAAUUUUUAUGCUUUCGAUGUGAAAAUUUUAUUUUAUGAAUGAUAUAUCGAAAGUUAUUUAUCUUUUGUUCGUUACUCGAGAUUCGUAUAUAGACAAGAACAUUGUCGAUUUCUGUUUAAGAUUAUAAACAAUUAAUGGAGGAAACUAAUUCUUUUCGACUGAAAGAAAAUUACGCAUUACAAAAUUUAGUAGUCAAUAAUUAAACUCCAUCAAGUGAUACUGAUGUAAUUUUUAAUAAAUCUUACUAAUCUUAAAUAAUAAGUCUUAUUUACUUAAUAUUUUGGUUGCUAAACACCAACAAUUUGUUACAUACAGCUUGUAAUUGUAUAGUUUUAAUAAUGCAAGAAAUAAAGUCGAACAUUCCAAAUCUUA